rnacentral:rRNA from 1 species
GUCUGUUUGUAGUUAUAGAGAGUCUGACCUGCCCACUGAUAAGAAUUUAUUUAAGGGCCGCAGUACCCUAACUGUGCAAAGGUAGCAUAAUCAUUAGUCUUUUAAUUGAAGGCUUGUAUGAAUGGUUGGACAAAAGAUAUAUUGUUUCUGAGGUAAAAUUGAAUUUAACUUUUAAGUGAGAAGGCUUAAAUUAGCUAAAAAGACGAUAAGACCCUAUAAAGUUUUAUAUGAUAGUGAAAUUUAUUUGAAUUUAGAUAUAAGAUGUAGAUUAAAUUAAUUGUAUUAUAUUGGGGCGAUAUAGGUAUAAUUUAAAAUAACUGCUUUAUAAGUUUACAAAUUGUGUUUGGGAUAUAAAUGAUCCUUAUUAAAGAUUAUGAGAUUAAGUUACUUUAGGGAUAACAGCGUAAUUUUUCUUGAGAGUCCUUAUCGAGAGAAAAGAUUGCGACCUCGAUGUUGAAUUAAAAUUUCUUUAUUAUGCAGAGGUAAUAAAAGAGGGUCUGUUCGACCUUUAAAUUUUU